rnacentral:rRNA from 1 species
CACGAAGCCGGCGGCUGCUUACCACAUGCAAGUCAAAACGAUGACCCCAGCUUCCAAGGUGGUUAGUGGAGAAAGGGGUGAGUAAUACGUGAGUAACCUACCUUUAACUCUGGGAUAAGCCUGGGAAACAGGGUCUAAACCGGAUACGACCAAUCUCCGCAUGCGGUGUUGGUGGAAAGCGUUAUGUAGUGGUUAUAGAUGGGCUCACGGCCAAUCAGCUUGUUGGUGAGGUAACGGCUCACCAAGGCGACGACGGGUAGCCGGCCUGAGAGGGUGACCGGCCACACUGGGACUGAGACACGGCCCAGACUCCUACGGGAGGCAGCAGUGGGGAAUAUUGCACAAUGGGCGCAAGCCUGAUGCAGCGACGCCGCAUGAGGGAUGACGGCCUUCGGGUUGUAAACCUCUGUUAGCAGGGAAGAAGAGAGAUUGACGGUACCUGCAGAGAAAGCGCCGGCUAACUACGUGCCAGCAGCCGCGGUAAUACGUAGGGCGCGAGCGUUGUCCGGAAUUAUUGGGCGUAAAGAGCUUGUAGGCGGUUUGUCGCGUCUGCUGUGAAAGACCGGAGCUUAACUCCGUGUAUUGCAGUGGGUACGGGCAGACUAGAGUGCAGUAGGGGAGACUGGAAUUCCUGGUGUAGCGGUGGAAUGCGCAGAUAUCAGGAGGAACACCGAUGGCGAAGGCAGGUCUCUGGGCUGUAACUGACGCUGAGAAGCGAAAGCAUGGGGAGCGAACAGG